GCAUGGCCCCGGGUAGAAACGGCAUCUUUUUUUUGAGCUUUUGCGAAAAAAAAUAUGGUGGAUAAUGGGACUGUAG
rnacentral:sRNA from 1 species